GCCGCUAUGGUGAAAUUGGUAGACACGCUGCUCUUAGGAAGCAGUGCGCAAGCAUCUCGGUUCGAGUCCGAGUGGCGGCA
rnacentral:tRNA from 1 species